UACAGAGGGGGCAAGCGUUAUUCGGAAUUAUUGGGCGUAAAGGGCGCGUAGGCGGCCUGGCAAGUGGAUGGUGAAAUCCCUCGGCUUAACCGAGGAACUGCCAUCCAGACUGCUUGGCUUGAGACCGGGAGAGGUGAGUGGAAUUCCCAGUGUAGCGGUGAAAUGCGUAGAUAUUGGGAGGAACACCAGUGGCGAAGGCGGCUCACUGGACCGGUACUGACGCUGAGGCGCGAAAGCUAGGGUAGCAAACGGG
rnacentral:rRNA from 1 species